rnacentral:rRNA from 1 species
CUACGGGCUGCAGCAGUGGGGAAUAUUGGGCAAUGGGCGCAAGCCUGACCCAGCAACGCCGCGUGAGGGAAGAAGGUUUUCGGAUUGUAAACCUCUGUCCUUGGGGACGAAGAAGUGACGGUACCCAAGGAGGAAGCUCCGGCUAACUACGUGCCAGCAGCCGCGGUAAUACGUAGGGAGCAAGCGUUGUCCGGAAUUACUGGGCGUAAAGGGUGCGUAGGCGGCAUAUUAAGUCAGGUGUGAAAUACUCGGGCUCAACCCGGGGGCUGCAUUUGAAACUGAUAUGCUUGAGUGUGAGAGGGGAAAGUGGAAUUCCUAGUGUAGCGGUGGAAUGCGUAGAUAUUAGGAGGAACACCAGUGGCGAAGGCGACUUUCUGGCUCAUAACUGACGCUGAGGCACGAAAGCGUGGGGAGCAAACAGGAUUAGAUACCCCCGUAGUC